rnacentral:rRNA from 1 species
CCUACGGGUGGCAGCAGUCGGGAAUAUUGCGCAAUGGAGGAAACUCUGAUGCAGUGACGCCGCGUGUAGGAAGAAGGUUUUCGGAUUGUAAACUCCUGUCGUCAGGGAAGAUAAAAGACUGUACCUAAGGAGGAAGCCCCGGCUAACUAGGUGCCAGCAGCCGCGGUAAUACAUAGGGGGCAAGCGUUAUCCGGAUUUAUUGGGUGUAAAGGGUGCGUAGACGGCAGAACAAGUUGGUGGUGAAAUCCCUCGGCCCAACCGAGGGACUGCAAUCGAAACUAUUCGCCUGGAGUGGAGGAGGGGAAAGUGGAAUUCCUGGUGUAGCGGUGAAAUGCGUAGAUAUUAGGAGGAACACCAGUGGCGAAGGCGACUUUCUGGACGAUAACUGACGUUGAGGCACGAAAGUGUGGGGAGCAAACAGGAUUAGAUACCCGGGUAGUC